GACGAACGCUGGCGGCGUGCUUAACACAUGCAAGUCGAACGGAAAGGCCCACCACCUUGGUGGUGGGUACUCGAGUGGCGAACGGGUGAGUAACACGUGGGUGAUCUGCCCCGCACUGUGGGAUAAGCCUGGGAAACUGGGUCUAAUACCACAUACGACCAUGGCGUAGGGGUCAUGGUGGAAAGCUUUAUUGCGGUGUGGGAUGAGCCCGCGGCCUAUCAGCUUGUUGGUGGGGUAAUGGCCUACCAAGGCGGCGACGGGUAGCCGGCCUGAGAGGGUGGACGGCCACAUUGGGACUGAGACACAGCCCAGACUCCUACGGGAGGCAGCAGUGGGGAAUAUUGCACAAUGGGCGCAAGCCUGAUGCAGCGACGCCGCGUGGGGGAUGAAGGCCUUCGGGUUGUAAACUCCUUUCGCCCGGGACGAAGCCCACCUGGUGGGUGACGUACCGGAGAAAAGCACCG
rnacentral:rRNA from 1 species